rnacentral:rRNA from 1 species
GACGAACGCUGGCGGCGUGCUUAACACAUGCAAGUCGAACGGAAAGGCCCUGCUUUUGUGGGGUGCUCGAGUGGCGAACGGGUGAGUAACACGUGAGUAACCUGCCCUUGACUUUGGGAUAACUUCAGGAAACUGGGGCUAAUACCGGAUAGGAGCUCCUGCUGCAUGGGGGGGGUUGGAAAGUUUCGGCGGUUGGGGAUGGACUCGCGGCUUAUCAGCUUGUUGGUGGGGUAGUGGCUUACCAAGGCUUUGACGGGUAGCCGGCCUGAGAGGGUGACCGGCCACCUUGCGACUGAGAUACGGCCCAGACUCCUACGGGAGGCAGCAGUGGGGAAUAUUGCACAAUGGGCGGAAGCCUGAUGCAGCAACGCCGCGUGCGGGAUGACGGCCUUCGGGUUGUAAACCGCUUUCGCCUGUGACGAAGCGUGAGUGACGGUAAUUAGUAAAGAAGCACCGGCUAACUACGUG